rnacentral:rRNA from 1 species
GGAAUGAGUAGCGCGAAUGCAGUGAGAAUCUGCAUGGCCGAAAGCCUCAGGUUUCUGGAGGAAGGUUCGUCCGCUCCAGGUUAGUCGGGAGCUAAGGUGAGGCCUAACGGCGUAGCCGAUGCACAGACGGUAGAGAUUCCGUCACCACCAAAAGAGUUAAACACAGGGACACAUUUGAAGUCUCGGAGCCGGGUGUUGGUUCCGGUAGCGAUCGAGGGAAAUUAGUACCGAAGUCCGGGAUGGAAGAUGGCGAGAAAAGCUGUGUGUAUUUCUGCGGUGCCCGUACCGCAAACCGACACAGGUAGGUAGGAAGAAGAUUCUAAGGCCAACGGGAGAAGGGUUGUUAAGGAACUCGGCAAAUUGACCCCGUAACUUCGGGAGAAGGGGUGCUCCAGAGAUGGAGCCGCAGAGAAUCGGCCCAAGCAACUGUUUACCAAAAACACAGGUUUGUGCUAAAUCGAAAGAUGACGUAUACGAGCUGACGCCUGCCCGGUGCUGGAAGGUUAAGAGGAGAUGUGCAAGCAUUGAAUCGAAGCCCCAGUGAACGGCGGCCGUAACUAUAACGGUCCUAAGGUAGCGAAAUUCCUUGUCAGGUAAGUUCUGACCCGCAUGAAAGGCGUAAUGAUUUGGGCACUGUCUCAACAGCCCGCCCGGCGAAAUUGUAGUACCGGUGAAGAUGCCGGUUACCCGCGACAAGACGGAAAGACCCCAUGGAGCUUUACUGUAGCCUAAUAUUGGGUUUCGAUGUUGCAUGCACAGGAUAGAUGGGACACAGGGAAACAAGUGCUUUGGCAUUUGUGGAGUGGCCGUUGGGAUACCAUCCUUGCGAUAUUGGAAUUCUAACCUGCGCCUUUGAAUCAAGGCGGGGGACAUUGUUAGGUGGGCAGUUUGACUGGGGCGGUCGCCUCCUAAAGAGUAACGGAGGCGUUCAAAGGUUCGCUCAGCUUGAACGGAAAUCAAGCAAAAGAGUGCAAACGCAGAAGCGAGCCUAACUGCGAGACUGACGGGUCGAGCAGUAACGAAAGUUGGAGUUAGUGAUCCGGUGGUAUGUGAGUGGAAAUGCCAUCGCUCAACGGAUAAAAGCUACCCUGGGGAUAACAGGCUGAUCUCCCCCAAGAGUCCACAUCGACGGGGAGGUUUGGCACCUCGAUGUCGGCUCAUCGCAUCCUGGGGCUGUAUUCGGUCCCAAGGGUUUGGCUGUUCGCCAAUUAAAGCGGUACGCGAGCUGGGUUCAGAACGUCGUGAGACAGUUCGGUCCCUAUCUGUCGUGGGCGCAGGAUAUUUGAUGGGAGCUGUCCCUAGUACGAGAGGACCGGGACGGACGUACCUCUGGCGCACCAGUUGUUCCGCCAGGAGCAUAGCUGGGCAACUACGUACGGAUCGGAUAAACGCUGAAAGCAUCUAAGCGUGAAGCCGACCCAAAGAUAAGAUAUCCCAUUGUUUCAAACAAGUAAGACCCCUUGAAGACUACAAGGUUGAUAGGCACGAUGUGUAAGUGGAGUGAUCCAUUCAGCAAGCGUGUACUAAUAGGUCGAGGGCUUGACCA